UCAGGACGAACGCUGGCGGCGUGCCUAACACAUGCAAGUCGAACGAGAAUCUACUAUGAAAUUUCGGAUGGAUUAGGUAGAGGAAAGUGGCGAACGGGUGAGUAACGCGUGAGCAAUCUGCCUUGUACUGGGGGAUAACGUCGGGAAACCGGCGCUAAUACCGCAUAAUACUAUGAGAUCGCAUGGUCAUAUAGUCAAAACUCCGGUGGUACAAGAUGAGCUCGCGUCCAAUUAGCUAGUUGGUGGGGUAAUGGCCCACCAAGGCGACGAUUGGUAGCCGAACUGAGAGGUUGAUCGGCCACAUUGGGACUGAGACACGGCCCAGACUCCUACGGGAGGCAGCAGUGGGGAAUAUUGCGCAAUGGAGGGGAAAACCUCUGACGCAGCAACGCCGCGUGAAGGAUGAAGGUUUUCGGAUUGUAAACUUCUUUGAUCGGGGACGAAAUUGACGGUACCCGAGGAACAAGCCACGGCUAACUACGUGCCAGCAGCAGC
rnacentral:rRNA from 1 species